rnacentral:rRNA from 1 species
AUGAUGGUUGUGGUGAGAAUGCCUGAUGGCCAGUAUUCCUUGGAGUUAGCAAGAGCGGGUUGCUUGUUUAUUAGAUCUUUAAUUUGUGCAUUCACGUAUACCUUUGCCAAGCGCAAGUCUUGGAAUGGUACAAUAAACUGGGAUGAACAUUUCAGAGUAGUCAAUGGAUUGGUGCGAAUUUCAAAGGCCGCAGUGUCUAAUUUGGAAGGUCCAUCCAUGCAACUGGAUGUGAAUGAGCUCAUUCUCUUCAUUCAGAAGAACUUUUCCAACAAGACUGCUAAGCUUGUCUCAAUUUACCCUCCCUACUUUGAUAAUCUUUUUACGGUAUUAAAAUCAUUGCAAAUAGCAGUCUUACUUCCGCAUGACCGGUUAGUUCUGGAGACUCAUGUAUGUUUGAUGGAGUCCUUUGACAGACUAAUAUUUGCUAUUCUCCUUAAGAGAAAACAUGACGGACUUCUGGGAGAUGAAUUGAAUAAGUGGAACACAUGCAUAAAUCAGGCAAUGGCCCCCAAUGAAUUUGAAACAAGUUUGGAUAAGGUUCCUGUGUUUGAAGAUGUUUUUAAGGCGGCGGCGGAACGGAAGGAGGAAUAUUCAAAGACCAAAUUUUCUGCAUUUCGUCUAUCUAGAGAUUAUCCAGUACAUGUCCUUAGUCACAAGAACGUUACAACCAAAGAAAAUUCAAUUUCUACAACUGUUGAACGCUUUAAAGACGACAGUGGUGUGGAGCUGAUGCUGGCAGCCAACAUGCCACAGUAUCUUGCUACCUUACACCAGUCACUUAUAGUUGCGGGUGUUGAUAUCUAUAGAGAGCUUUAG